CGGGUGAGUAACACGUAGAUAAUCUGCCUCCAAGCCUGGGAUAACUAUUCGAAAGGAUGGCUAAUACCGGAUGAAGUGCAUCGACAUAAGUUGAUGUAUGAAAGAUUGCCUCUUCUUGAAAGCAAUUGUUUGGAGAUGAGUCUGCGGACCAUUAGUUUGUUGGUGGGGUAAAGGCCUACCAAGACUACGAUGGUUAGCUGGUCUGAGAGGAUGAUCAGCCACACUGGAACUGGAACACGGUCCAGACUCC
rnacentral:rRNA from 1 species